CCUACGGGAGGCAGCAGUGAGGAAUAUUGGUCAAUGGCCGAGAGUCUGAACCAGCCAAGUCGCGUGAGGGACGACUGCCCUAUGGGUUGUAAACUUCUUUUAUAAAGGAAUAAUACGUGCUACGUGUACCUUGUUGCCUGUACUUUAUGAAUAAGCAUCGGCUAACUCCGUGCCAGCAGCCGCGGUAAUACGGAGGAUCCGAGCGUUAUCCGGAUUUAUUGGGUUUAAAGGGAGCGUAGAUGGGUUGUUAAGUCAGUUGUUAAAGUUUGCGGCUCAACCGUUAAAUUGCAAUUGAUACUGGAAGUCUUGAGUACAGUUGAGGUAGGCGGAAUUAGUGAUGUAGCGGUGAAAUGCUUAGAUAUAACGAAGAACCCCGAUUGCGAAGGCAGCUUACUAAACUGUGACUGACAUUGAUGCUCGAGAGUGUGGGUAUCAAACAGGAUUAGAUACCCCUGUAGUC
rnacentral:rRNA from 1 species